AGGUUCCACACCAACCCAGAAGAGAAACGGUGCUGCCUGUAAUUAGAGCAGAGGUGGCGGGAGUGUGACAUGCUGGAGGGAACACAGAGGAAUGAUCCCAGUGACCACAGAGGGGGCAAAGAAAGUGCAUCAUCUCACACAACAUCACCAGGCGGUCCUUCCCCAGCAGCAAGGGAAACGCUUUAGUGGAGGGACAGUGGCCAAGUUUAUAUUUGUCAAUGUCAAGCUGAAAGAUCUCU
rnacentral:lncRNA from 1 species